UGUGGCACUUCCCAUAUGAGCUCUAUCG
rnacentral:piRNA from 1 species